GCGAACCUCUACUGAUUGUUUCAGUGUCUUGGUCAACCGCUUUUAACAGCGAAACAUUAAAGCCACUGCAAGAAUAAACAGGAAGCUGGUGUUUAGGUGGGAGUUCCUAGGAAUUUUAUACCACUGACCACAGAGGCCAAAAGAGAAAGGAAAUAGGAAAAACAGUGUAAAUACCUGGGUGACUAAUGACUUUGCACAGCUCAGCUGGCUUUUCUGAACAUUUCAUGGGACGUCUCUCCAGGGGAAACAACCUGAAAAUGUUUCAGGACUCCGGGUGGCAUUGAAGGGCCAGAGAGGGGUGUUUAGUGCACGCUGUUGGCUGGCUGGUUUUGUGGGUUUUGUUCACCGUCUACCGGGCAGAGAGCCUUUCUGCCGAUGUCGCCAGAUGCCUCUCUCCAAGCGAAAUGACCCAUUUGCAUGCGUGGUGCAGACAUUUUCCGGAGCUCCAGGGCUCCCAGGCCUCCCCAGGCCUCCGAUUGUAAAGGAUCGUAGGGCCACCCCUUUCCUUGUUCACAUGGACAGCGCCUAAGAGGAUUUAGAAUCAAGUGGGCACAUUUGCACUGCCUUGUUCUGAAGAGGCAGCUGGAGCGCGGACUGGCCUGGCGCAACCCACCGCGGGUCCCGGGGGACCGCAUUGUCUCGGAGGGGCCGCCACAGGGGCUCCAUUGUGAGCGGGGCCGGCCUUUUUCUCCUGCCCUCUGUCUCCCCGGGCCUCCCCUCAUCCCCCCCACCCCCCCUCCACGCAGACUUUUCUCUCAAGCUGCCGGCACCCCCGGCUGCCGCAUUUCCAAUGCAGGGGAGCGGCGAGGCUCCGGGCUGGCCAUCUGCACGCGGAGAUUGACAGCAGUCCCGGAAGAUGGACAGCCCUGAAACAUCUUUCAUGCAACUCCUCAGGCAGCCCAGAAACAGCCAGGAACCAUUCGCCAGGAGCUGUGGCCAACUUAAUAACUCAUCCUUGUAUUGGUUUCCAUCCUCUGUCCUUCAUCCGUCUUGUCUUUUACUCCUACUUGCUGGAUCACACAUCCCAAUAAAUUUUUGCACUCAAGCGUUUGUCUCAGGAUCUGCUGUCCGGAGGACCAAGACUAAGUUCAAGUCAUAUUUUUUUUUUUUUGAGAUGGAAUCUCACUCUGUUGCCCAGGCUGGAGUGCAGCGGCAUGAUUUUGAUUCACUGCAACGUCCACCUCCCGGGUUCAAGUGAUUGUCCUGCCUCAGCCUCAUGAGUAGCUGGGAUUACAGGUGCACGCCACCACACCUGGCUAAUUUUUGUAUUUUUAGUAGAGACAGGGUUUCACCAUGU
rnacentral:lncRNA from 1 species